rnacentral:rRNA from 1 species
AACGAACGCUGGCGGCAUGCCUAACACAUGCAAGUCGAACGAGACCUUCGGGUCUAGUGGCGCACGGGUGCGUAACGCGUGGGAACCUGCCCUUAGGUUCGGAAUAACUCCCCGAAAGGGGUGCUAAUACCGGCUAAUGUCUUCGGACCAAAGAUUUAUCGCCUUUGGAUGGGCCCGCGUUGGCUUAGCUAGUUGGUAGGGUAAAAGCCUACCAAGGCGACGAUCCAUAGCUGGUCUGAGAGGAUGAUCAGCCACACUGGGACUGCGACACGGCCCAGACUCCUACGGGAGGCAGCAGUGGGGAAUAUUGGACAAUGGGCGAAAGCCUGAUCCAGCAAUGCCGCGUGAGUGAUGAAGGCCUUAGGGUUGUAAAGCUCUUUUACCCGGGAUGAUAAUGACAGUACCGGGAGAAUAAGCUCCGGCUAACUCCGUG